UGGGGAAUUUUGGACAAUGGGCGAAAGCCUGAUCCAGCAAUGCCGCGUGUGUGAAGAAGGCCUUCGGGUUGUAAAGCACUUUUGUCCGGAAAGAAAUCCUUGGCUCUAAUACAGUCGGGGGAUGACGGUACCGGAAGAAUAAGCACCGGCUAACUACGUGCCAGCAGCCGCGGUAAUACGUAGGGUGCAAGCGUUAAUCGGAAUUACUGGGCGUAAAGCGUGCGCAGGCGGUUUGCUAAGACCGAUGUGAAAUCCCCGGGCUCAACCUGGGAACUGCAUUGGUGACUGGCAGGCUAGAGUAUGGCAGAGGGGGGUAGAAUUCCACGUGUAGCAGUGAAAUGCGUAGAGAUGUGGAGGAAUACCGAUGGCGAAGGCAGCCCCCUGGGCCAAUACUGACGCUCAUGCACGAAAGCGUGGGGAGCAAACAGGAUUAGAUACCCUGGUAGUCCACGCCCUAAACGAUGUCAACUAGUUGUUGGUGCAUUCUUUCUAGUAACGUAGCUAACGCGUGAAGUUGACCGCCUGGGGAGUACGGUCGCAAGAUUAAAACUUAAAUGAAUUGACGGGGUCAUAGCUGUUUCCU
rnacentral:rRNA from 1 species